CCUACGGGAGGCAGCAGUGGGGAAUAUUGCACAAUGGGGGAAACCCUGAUGCAGCGACGCCGCGUGGGUGAAGAAGUAUUUCGGUAUGUAAAGCCCUAUCAGCAGGGAAGAAAAUGACGGUACCUGACUAAGAAGCCCCGGCUAACUACGUGCCAGCAGCCGCGGUAAUACGUAGGGGGCAAGCGUUAUCCGGAUUUACUGGGUGUAAAGGGAGCGUAGGUGGCGUGCCAAGUCAGGAGUGAAAACCCAGGGCCCAACCCUGGGACUGCUCUUGAAACUGGCAGGCUUGAGUGCUGGAGAGGUAA
rnacentral:rRNA from 1 species